CCUACGGGAGGCAGCAGUGAGGAAUAUUGGUCAAUGGGCGGAAGCCUGAACCAGCCAAGUAGCGUGCGGGAUGAAGGCCCUACGGGUCGUAAACCGCUUUUGCACGGGGAUAACACCCUCCACUUGUGGAGGUCUGCAGGUACCGUGCGAAUAAGGGCCGGCUAAUUCCGUGCCAGCAGCCGCGGUAAUACGGAAGGCCCGAGCGUUAUCCGGAUUCAUUGGGCUUAAAGGGAGCGUAGGCGGGCGUUCAAGUCAGCUGUAAAAUCGCGCGGCUCAACCGCGCCCCGCAGUUGAAACUGGACGCAUUGAGUUCACAACAGGCAGGCGGGAUUCGUGGUGUAGCGGUGAAAUGCAUAGAUAUCACGAGGAACCCCGAUUGCGAAGGCAGCCUGCCGGGGUGCGACUGACGCUGAGGCUCGAAGGUGCGGGUAUCAAACAGGAUUAGAUACCCCAGUAGUC
rnacentral:rRNA from 1 species